GCAUGAUGGAGACUUUAAAGAGUUCCUGAAUCCAGGCCCGUGGCAUUGAAACUAUAAAAGAAAAUGGGGCAUUCUGAUUAUGUGAUAUGGCCCAUGAAUCCAAAAUAGUAGCAAACAAAAUCUGGGCAGGACAGAACUGAUACUAAUCAAUCCUGGGAUUUCUAAUCUAGUACCGCCGCAUAAUAGAGGUGCAGAGAGCCGCAAGUUGUAGCCCCUCAAUCCCGUGCUUGUUAAAAUUCCUGGGGAGAAUUUUGUACAAGCACCGAAGUUUAACCACAUGGGCGGAAAAGGAGGGAAUAAAAAGGGACCUAUUGCAACAGCUGGGGCUCAGCCGCGAGUUUCCAUGACGCUGAGAGAGGAAUCAAUUGCGAAGAAACAGGGCAAUGUUAAUGUCAAGACUAUGUGCAGGCUAGACCAUCUGAAAACCUUGCAAUGUGGGCCGCCGAAGCUCUCUAUCCCGUCGCUUGGCGCUUUCUGCGGGGAAAACCUGGCUGCAGCAGCCAGGCCUUGGGCAUUCGCCCUGACCCGUCUUUGUUUGUUUGUGAAAGAUGUGAAUCCAUUCCGCAACCUGGUGAUAACUGCACUUUCCGAAUUGAGAAGAAUAUGUCAAAGCCGCAACACAGACACAAGAAAUCUAGUCUUGCCCCAGUAUCGAUAUAAAGCUAAACACCUCAAAGCUUGAAAUUCAUGGAGAGGGGUUGGACGACGACCUGAUUAGCAACCUCGCCCAAUAUUGAUAUGAAGCUAAACAGCUCUUUAUCGAGAGCGUCUAAAAGUUCAUUGGUCUCAGUCAAGCACCCUUUCAAGUUCAAGAUCGCAUUAUAAUGGAUGCUCGGAUUGCGAACAGACUUCGUGUGAAAAGGGCUAAACGAUCCAUCAUCUCUCCUGAAAUAGAUUCCUAGCACCCUUCUUC